rnacentral:lncRNA from 1 species
UGUGUGUGUAUAUGUAUAUAUAUGCAUGUGAUACAAUAAAAAAUCCUACCUCCUUAGCUGAAGAGGCGAACUGCUUCGACGACUACCAACCCUAGCUUCGGCUGACUCUGAUUUCUAUCAGUACAACAUGCUCCGGCCGUCCUUAUCUGAUGUAAUGGAAGGGUUGACCUUAGGCUCCUACAUGGAUUUUCAAAUCCCAUAACCAUCAGAAAUAGCUAGCGACAAAGCAAAUAAGGCAAUGGACAACCACCAGAUCUUGAGAAAUUAGGCUAGAAAUAUGCGGGUGAUGCCCCAAAAUGGUCAGGAUGACCUCCCACACUUCUGCCCUCUCAAGGCUCUCACCUCUAUCUAUAAAUGGUGGUUUACAAAGGACCCUCAAGUAUGCAUUCCCUCUCUCUCUAGCUCACUGCUUCCAAUUUAUUCCAUGUUUAUAACUUAGCAUCGAAGGGCCCAUCGGAGCCAAGUCUGAUCAAGGACAUCUUUUGGAGGUCUGGUCGCCAUCGCCAUCUGGUCCACUCGUACCGACCUCUAAGUUAAAAUUCACAGCAACAGAUUGGCACUAGAGGAAGAAUUUUGUUAAUAUAAUAGAUUACCUUCUUGAGUCUCACGUAUCAGGUCUUUGCGUCAUAGAGGAUUUUGCUGACAUAAUAAAUCAAUCUUUGAAGUCUGUCCUAUAUCGAUCAGAUACAUCGAAUCAGAUAGCAAAAUGGAUAAUUGAGCUCAUGGAGUUUGAUGUAAAAUUUUAGCCCUAACCCUCCAUCAAGGCCUAGGUUUUAGUUGACGUUAUCCUGGAAUGUACAAUUCUUGAGGAAGGCCCCACAUAGGCUGAACCACCAAAAGAAGAUUCAUCCAAAGAAGAGCCCGAGGAGCUGUGGGUCAUGUAUGUGGAUGGAUCAUCAAGCCUUAUCAAGUCAGGAGUAGGAUUGAUCCUCAUCGGACCAAAAAGAAUCAUUACAGAGUAUCCUUAUAUUGAAAAAUAUAUCCUAAAACCAAUCAUCUAGGUUGUAGAUAAUUGUACUCUAUACAAUUAUAUGAAUUAUAAAAUGAUAAAUAUUAUCUGACAAGAUUCAUCAUAAGAAAUACAUCUUCCUAAAUAGAGCUUAUAUGUUAUAAUGAAGUCCUUAGAGCUACUUCCAAAAUGAUAAAGAAAGAUUUAUCGUGUAGUUCUUA